UUUUUAGUUUCGUUAUUUAUUCAUUUAUUUAUUUAUUUACUCGAUUUCAACACAGAUUUGAUAGAAAAUCUAAAAUAAUAACCGUUUUUGAUCAUAAUGAUCAUAAAUCAUAAUGCUGGGGGAGUUAAACAUUUCAAAGGCCGGUUCUUAAACGGCACACUUUACCGGAAACCUUUGAUCCUGAAACGCAUUUUUAUUUUCAUGAAAAUAUAACCAAGACAAGGACAGAACUGUGCGUGAAGCUGCUGAGCCUCUCUCCCUGUUCUCCCAGCAGGUGUGAGCACUCUGAUGGAGCUGGAGGCCCUGCCAUGCCAACGAGGGCUGUUGGCCCUUGCCACACCCACUUUCCCUCUUUGCCACUUUUAAUGUAUUUUUUAUGAAAUAAACUUUUUAAAAUGCGUGACUAGGCUAAACGCGAGGUUUGAGGUGAAAUGCGCUCUUAAGGUUGCACGGAAGCAGUCGUGGGUGCUGCAGUGCUAAGUGAAGGGGGCUGAUGCUGGGAUAGUGCAAAAGGAGGGUAAAAUGAAUAAAAGUGCAUUUUUUUCGAGGUUAAAGUGUAAAAUACUAAUAUAUGAGAUUAAAGUGGAUUUGAUACAGUGUUCAUGCUUAGUGAUUUUACUGAAAAUCGAUUUGAGAGAGUUGCCUCUGAAUAUUCAAAUGGUAAGUAACGCGCAAUCAAAUCAUUGUCAAAUCAUUGAGUUCUAGGGGUUUUAAAUAGAGGGAAUGGAGGGAGAAAAUCUCAAACUAAUAUGUCCCCAGCUCUAUUACAAUCAUUCUGUAUGCUCUGGCUCUGCUGUAAGACAUUUGUGUUGCUAUUUUUGGAGACUUUUGCAGAAAUUUCGUUCUUGGCCAUUUUGCUGAGGCAGAAAAGGACAUUGUUGAGUCCCUCAGCUCUUCUCCAGGAAUCAUCUCUCCAUCCCAGCCAUCAUGUCCGAUCAACUGAAGGUGUACCCGGGGGUCCGGGUGAAGAUCACGGUCAAGGAGUUGCUGCGGAGGCACAGAGAGAAGGAGGCCAACAACAAGAAGCUUAAUGCGCAGAUGCAUCAGGCUUGCUUGGAACUACAGGAGCUUCGCGCGUCCACUUUCCAAAGUGGCCAUGUGGCUCCUCCUCCCUCUGUCCCCCCAGCUGAAGCCAGCAGCUGCGGGUCGCUGGCCCUCCAGCUUCGAGCCACCAUCUCGUUUCCAGUCCCUGACAGCGCGUGCAACAUCCAGAUGCAGGAGUGCGGCAUCCAGGUGCAGCAGCAGCAGCAGUUUGGGGAUGUGAUGUUGCCCGGCAACGGAUACGGUGGUACCACCUACGACACCCCUCUGCCUCCUUUUCCAACCUCCCCUCAGCCUUGGUACCACGGACUGUCCUCAGAUGCGGACUACUACGGCCAGGGGAUGGCCCCUUGCUCCUCAUUGGAGUCACUGACUUUCUGCAACCCUGUGGAUCCCAACACUUAUUCCCCACAGGACUCCUUCUCUUCCUCCUCCUCCUCCUCAUGCUAUGACUCGCCCACCAGAAUGGAGUCAAGCUUCAGCCCACAGCAAUACCACUAUCAGCACUGUGGCCCCCAGGAAUAUUACAGCUUGCCACACUGUUGGUCAGGCCAGCAGGAGAGCCCCCCCACCCCAGAAUGCGCACCUUACUUUGCUCCCACAGACUAUCCCCAGGUGUAUCCUGUAGAAGACAGCUGUUUCCAGAAGGAUUUCCCGCUGAGCUCUGAGAUGUGCUACAAUGCUUUAUGAUGAGACCGUGAACAGUAUUACUUUGUAUCCUGACUGUAAAUACGAUUUGGCUCAGUGAGGUUGUUUGCUUUGCAUUUCACUUGGUCUGCUUUACUUUAAUCAAUUCAUUUGUAAUAAAAACUAAAUGAUAUAUUUUCAUACGCUAAUGUUUUGCUGCACAAAAUAAAAAUGUGUAAAAGUCAGCACUGUGCUUGUAAUGUGCGCUUGUCUAUUGCAGAGUUUCCACUGUAAAAGUCGGGAUGUUUGCUUCAGCCAGCAGGUUCAGACUUCACCCUGUGAACAUGCCCUGUAGCCACAGGUAACAAAUAAAAGUGAAAAAUGUGGGAAGAGUGUGAAAGUAAAUAUCACAGGCUGAUAACAUGUCAGGGCUGAACUCAGCUGUAACGCAACAAUUGGAAAUGAAGGCAAGGAAACGUCUGAGAUUUGACUUUGGCCUGCAGGGCAGUAUUUCACUGGGAGUUCAGAGAUCAAAGGAGAACAGAUUAACAGACAAGCCGACUCACAGUGGCUGCAGCUCAGCUAACAGAGCAGGACGUCUGCUAAUCAGAGGGUUGGUUUGGCUUUUUCAAGAAUGCUUGAGCUCCGAGUUGUCGCGUAAUGCUGGAGUCGCUGUGUGUGAAUGAGACUGGUAUUUAAAAAGUACUUUGACUCCUCAGACAGGUGUCAGUCCAUUUAUCUGAUUUUUUCAACAAACUCUCAAUAAUUUCUCCAGACUGUGAAACAAGCACUGUUGAAGCUGCAACCCCCUCUUAUUAUACUUACAGAUUUUACACGGAGCUCAGCCAGUUUAUUAGGCUACCUGUCAAAAAACAAGAAAUUCAGUAAAUGGACUGAUUUUCUACUCUGAGCACUCUUGU
ensembl:lncRNA